UACGUAGGGGGCAAGCGUUGUCCGGAUUUAUUGGGCGUAAAGAGCGUGUAGGCGGCCAGAUAGGUCAGCUGUGAAAACUCGAGGCUCAACCUCGAGACGUCGGUUGAAACCAUCUGACUAGAGUCCGGAAGAGGAGAGUGGAAUUCCUGGUGUAGCGGUGAAAUGCGCAGAUAUCAGGAAGAACACCCGUGGCUAAGGCGGCUCUCUAGUACGGUACUGACGCUGAGACGCGAAAGCGUGGGGAGCGAACAGG
rnacentral:rRNA from 1 species